AUGGAGAUCAUUUUUUCCAGUGCUUGUUACCCCUGUGUAUCUGGUUUAGGAAAAUGUCUAGUCAGGUCUGUUGCCCUUUUCUCAAUCAAGUGCUUGGGUUUAUUUAUUGAUGCAUUGAUUUUUUUUUUUCGGUGUUCGUUUGUGUCUGUUGUUGAGCUGGUAAUUAUGAAACCCCAUCCUUACCUGGGCUUUGGGAACCGGAUAAAGUGCCUGCAUGUUGUCCCUGGAAGGUGGUACAGAGGUGACAUUUUGGAAGAUGUCCAGGUGGAGACUGCUGCCGCUCGGGAAAGAGACAGGCACACGGACGCCGCUGAACCUGUCAAGGUUUCCUAGCAAAGCGACACUGGACCAGGCAUAAUUACCUAGCAGUUAUUGUCCUGCACCCAUGAGUCGCAUGCAGAUACACUCUGCCCUGGAAGUGAAUCCACUCCUAUGCUGGACAUCCCCAGGCUCAUUCUUCUAAUCAUCAGCCACGAGAGACACUGUGUCAAGAGAGACUUCAGGAUUUGCUUUAUCUAUCCAUUCCCUUAGCUCUUCUGUAGGAAUAUAUAUAUAAUAUAUAUAUAU
rnacentral:lncRNA from 1 species